rnacentral:rRNA from 1 species
GACGUAGGGCGCGAGCGUUGUCCGGAUUUAUUGGGCGUAAAGAGCUCGUAGGCGGCUUGUCGCGUCGAUCGUGAAAAACUUGGGGGCUCAACCCCCAAGCCUGCGGUCGAUACGGGCAGGCUCGAGUUCGGUAGGGGAGACUGGAAUUCCUGGUGUAGCGGUGAAAUGCGCAGAUAUCAGGAGGAACACCGGUGGCGAAGGCGGUUCUCUGGGCCUGUACUGACGCUGAGGAGCGAAAGCGUGGGGGAGCGAACAGG